GACGAACGCUGGCGGCGUGCUUAACACAUGCAAGUCGAGCGGUAAGGCCCUUUCGGGGGUACACGAGCGGCGAACGGGUGAGUAACACGUGGGUGACCUGCCCUCAGCUCUGGGAUAAGCCUGGGAAACCGGGUCUAAUACUGGAUAUGACUCCAUGACGCAUGUUGUGGGGUGGAAAGCCUUGUGCGGCUGAGGAUGGGCCCGCGGCCUAUCAGCUUGUUGGUGGGGUGANGGCCUACCAAGGCGACGACGGGUAGCCGGCCUGAGAGGGCGACCGGCCACACUGGGACUGAGACACGGCCCAGACUCCUACGGGAGGCAGCAGGUGGGGAAUCUUGCGCAAUGGGCGAAAGCCUGACGCAGCGACGCCGCGUGAGGGAUGACGG
rnacentral:rRNA from 1 species